rfam:Oryza sativa (indica cultivar-group) chromosome 7, whole genome shotgun sequence.
AAAAGGCCAAACCCUGGGUUUCUAUGUCCAACUUUAACUGUCCAUCUUAUAUGAAAUUUUUUUAUAAUUCGUAUUUUCAUUGUUGUUAGAUGAUAACACAUGAUUAAUAUUUUAUGCAUGACUUAUCUUUUUUAUUUUUUUAUAAUUUUUUCAAAUAAGACGAACGGUUAAAUGUUGGGCACGAAAAUCAGGGUUUGUCUUUUU